rnacentral:tRNA from 1 species
GCCUUCCUGGUGUAGUGGUCAGUACGCUCGACGCGUAACCGAGAGGUCCGUGGUUCGAUUCCCGGGGAAGGCG